CCUUGUUACACAAAUGUCCGCAUGCCUUUGUCUUCAUGUGUGUAACAUAUAUAUAUACAUAUAUAGAAGACAGUGCGCUAGCGUAUCUAGUCUUCUAUAUAUAUCGAUGGUCGGCACGUCUGGUAGCAUCUCUGGCUGCUGUUGACCUUGUUUUUGGAGUAAAACACGGUGGAAGCUGAAUUAGUGAGGAUGACUCCUGCUACUGUCAUCUCUAAACUCCUCACACAUCUUUACCUGCACAUGAGGAAAAUCACUCCUGUAGAAUGCAGAUGUUCAGAGGGAGAUGAUGCCACAUCUGGUCCAGCCGAUGGAAGGUCUUGAAGUUCUCUGACUGGCCUCGACUGAAGAUGGUCGUCUCACUGGAUUUAAGGUUCAGAUGCUCAGUAACAAACUCCACCAAUGUGCCAACAGGGAAGCUUUAGGUUUAUUAAAUGUUGCUAUGAAGGUAUCGCUGUUUUUCUUUGUGAAUGCAAUGUGCUCCAACUGAAACUUGAAUUAGAACUUAGAAGUAAAUCCUUCCAUUUGAAAGGAUUUAGUUGCAUUAAUAACCUGAUAACAUUCAAAUUUUUAUUCCAGUCUUGGUUGGAAAUAGAAUCUCUGUAUUGAUUCAGGUAAAAACUGAACUUCACAGCAUGUUGGAGCAAAACAACCAGAUGAAAACUGUGAUGGUGUUGGAUUGUCAGACCGUAAUGUUGCAGCUCAAAGCAGCUUUUCUAGCUCAGUUCAUUCUGACAUUCAGCUAUGAAUCAACACAGCAGAUGGUGAUCCAUGCUGUGGAAGUCUCACAUCUCCUGAUUUAAUGGAGCUGCUUUGCACUUUUUACACUGUUUAUUCACCAACACUUUAUUUAAUAAAAGUCCCAUCUAGUUUUUAUGAGGAAUGUGAUGUUUUAAUUUCUCUAUGAAUAACUGCAGUCUAAUGCAACAGCUGGAAUUGUAACAUCUGUCCUGAUAUUGAUCAUGAAGUAUUGAUCAGAAUACUUAUGGUUAGCAGUCAUCCCUGAAGUUUUACAUUAAAAUCUUUACUUGUGUUGUGAACUUUGGUAAGAAGCAGAAACGUUAGCGUUGCCAUGGAUACAUGAGUGUUAAAUUCUGUCCAUGUUUCCAUUUUGGGAAAUGCAGUCCAGUUCCAGAAUGUGGAGGAAUUUAGUCUCAAUCACAGACAACAAAUAUUAUCUGAAAGUCGGGUUAUUGUUGUUUAUCAGCACAAUACAAAAAGAUUAAUGUUAGAAAUAUUCCAGUUAAGACUCUAGAAUACCAUGAUUUAUGUAUAUUUACCUCAAUAAUAUGAAUGUUCAGGUUAAGAUUGUACAGUGAUAUUUAUUAUGUAAGUUUAGCUGAUUAAAGUUUAUGACUGCACUAAAAUAUUAUUUAAAUUGAUAUCAUUAUUAUAAUAUUUAGGGUCAGACCCUACAGUACUGAGAUUAAGAAGUUAAAUAUUCUAUAAAAUGUAAAUACACUGAACUCAUUUGGAUAUAUUUAAGUGAGACUCUACAAUAUUGUUUAUGACACAAAUCUAUCUAAAUCAAAAUUUUAAUCAUUUUUACUCCAAACAUUUACUGGACUGAUUUAAAUAUUAAAAUCACUCCUUUCUAAUCCUCUGCUGUACGUUCAAACCUGAGGCCUUAAAUAGAAACACACAAGUAUCUGAUUGAAGGAACUUCUGCAGAGUCCUGGUUCUAGAACAUGAUGAUAGAAUUAUAGACAAACU